GACGAACGCUGGCGGCGUGCUUAACACAUGCAAGUCGAACGAAGUGGCGAACGGGUGAGUAAUACGUGGGUAACCUGCCCUCCUUUUUGGGAUAAGCCUUGGAAACGGGGUCUAAUACCGAAUAAAGGGUGAUGGGCUCGCGGCCUAUCAGCUUGCUGGUGGGGUGAUGGCCUACCAAGGCGGUGACGGGUAGCCGGCCUGAGAGGGUGACCGGCCACAUUGGGACGGAGAUACGGCCAAGACACGUACGGGAGGCAGAAGUGGGGGAUAUUGCGCAAUGGGCGAAAGCCAGAUGCAGGGCAGCCGAGUGGGGGAUGAAGGCUUUAGGGUUGUAAACCUCUUUCGAUAACGAACGGGUAGGUGGAGAAGAAGCGCCGGCUAACUACGUGCCAGCAGCCGCGGUAAUAC
rnacentral:rRNA from 1 species